UUUCCGUAGGUGAACCUGCGGAAGGAUCAUUACAGAGUUCAUGCCCUCUCGGGUAGAUCUCCCACCCUUGAAUAUUUAUACCUUAGUUGCUUUGGCAGGCCGUGGAAACACCAUGGGCUCCGGCUUAUGCCUGCGUGCCAGCGGAAACAAACUCUGUUUUUAGUGAUGUCUGAGUACUAUAUAAUAGUUAAAACUUUCAACAACGGAUCUCUUGGUUCUG
rnacentral:misc_RNA from 1 species